UGAAAGUUACUUCGGUUACAUCGGUGACAGGUGGUGCAUGGUUGUCGUCAGCUCGUGUCGUGAGAUGUUGGGUUAAGUCCCGCAACGAGCGCAACCCCUAUUGUUAGUUGCCAUCAUUCAGUUGGGCACUCUAGCGAGACUGCCGGUAAUAAACCGGAGGAAGGUGGGGAUGACGUCAAAUCAUCAUGCCCCUUAUGACCUGGGCUACACACGUGCUACAAUGGUUGGUACAACGAGUUGCGAGUCGGUGACGGCGAGCUAAUCUCUUAAAGCCAAUCUCAGUUCGGAUUGUAGGCUGCAACUCGCCUACAUGAAGUCGGAAUCGCUAGUAAUCGCGGAUCAGCACGCCGCGGUGAAUACGUUCCCGGGCCUU
rnacentral:rRNA from 1 species